ACGCUCGACACCUACGGGCGGCAGCAGUAGGGAAUCUUCCACAAUGGGCGCAAGCCUGAUGGAGCAACACCGCGUGAGUGAAGAAGGGUUUCGGCUCGUAAAGCUCUGUUGUUGGAGAAGAACGUGCGUGAGAGUAACUGUUCACGCAGUGACGGUAUCCAACCAGAAAGUCACGGCUAACUACGUGCCUGCAGCCGCGGUAAUCUGAGCGGGCUGGCAAGGC
rnacentral:rRNA from 1 species